GGGAUUCUUUUUAUCUUUUUUCCACCCUACCUUUCAUCUUCCCAUUUUCUUAAAAAUCAUCGCCGUCAAGUGAUUUUUUUUUCAUUUCUUAAAUUCUCCUUCCACCGGCAGCCACCUGAACUUCAUCCCGUCGUAUUCGCAGUCAAGUCCAUCUAUGUGUCACAGCAGCGGAGACGAACCGAUCUGGGUUCAUUUCUGCUGUUGAGACGCGUUCGUCUCGCAGCAGUGGAGGCGAACUGAGUUGGGUUUAUCUCCGCUGCUGAGACGAACGGCUCGUUCAUCUCACAACAGUAGAAAGGAACCCCAGUCAGAGUCGCCUUUGCUGCUGCAAGAUAAUGAACGAGCGAAAAAAAUGAAGUGCAGCAACAUGAUGGCAAACAGUGUUGAACGAGGAGCUGUGUUGUACGGGGAGCAGCGUUCACUGGCAGCAAAUGAUCCAUUGGGGAUUUUGGAAUGAUAAUAUGAUGUUGAAUGGGGAUAAUUUGAUUUUGGAAGGAUGUUGAUGUUGAAGACAAACCGACGAACCCAGAUGCGGCAGAUCCGGCAGAAAUUGACGGCAAGAGAAGGUUCCCGGCGGAAGGAGGCAGCCGUGGCUGUAGAUUAGGAUUUUAAUUAAUUAGGGCUAAGUAGGUCUAAUUAGGGUUUAGUUAAGGUUAAUUAUUUUUAAUUAGAAUAAAGGGUAGAAGAGAUCCCUAAAUUUUUAUUAAUUAGAGUUUUAGUUAAUUAGAAUGAAUUAGGAUUUUAAUUAAGGUCAA